GCCGGGGUGCCCGAGCGGACUAAGGGGCUGGCCUGGAGAGCCAGUGGGCGAUGAGCCCGCGCGGGUUCGAAUCCCGCCCCCGGCG
rnacentral:tRNA from 1 species